CCAUAAAUUUUUUAUUUUUACUUUUGUUUUUAAGUGCUUCUCCUUUUAAUUCUGUUUUUUAUUAGGGGGAAAAUAAAAAAAAAAAAGACAACUCUGUUUAAAUUAGCGUGCGAUAUUUAUGUUUAUAUUUGUAUUAUGAUCCUCAGAGACACCAUAUAACCUAUGUAUGAUAUUUUGGAAAUUAAUCUGUGUGUGUAUAGAAAUGAAUUGGGUUGUUUUUGGCAUAGUCAUAAUUUGUGGGUAGGUGAAAAUUGUGCAACAAUACAGUGAGAAAUAAGAUACGAUCCAUUAAAACUCAC
rnacentral:lncRNA from 1 species